AGGUGGCCUAGGAGCGCCGCGGCGUGGAGAGGAUUUUCAGGAGCGGUGGAGAUCUCCGACGAUUGGAGAAUUUGCGGAUUUUCCUUUAGGAUUUGCGAUAGGAGCUGCACCGAUCCGCUCAUCGCUGCUUCGUACAGAGUUCAACGUUCACAAAUUCGAUUGAAGAAUUUUGGGGGAAUUUUGUUCACCUUUAGCCCGCCAAUUUGGGCUUUAGAGUCAACGCUACGCAGAAUAUAAAUUAAUUCAGAUAAUUAUUAGAAGAAAAUGAUUAUAAUAUUCUUCAUCUAGAAAACGUGCAACGACCAUAAAAUUCAUAGCUAGACACUGAAGAUCAUCAAAUUUGAAGUGGUAGCAGUUAGAACAGUAGUUUAUACUAGUUGUUAGCCAUAUGAUACACAGAGAUUUGAGGCUAUCCGAAAUUGCUCACAAACUGUUCGACACUUUACUUGUAUGAACAUUGUAAUUCAUGUUCUUAAUUUAUUGACUUUUGCAGCUUGAGGUGUUCAUCAAUAGGGCUGGGAAAAGUCGAAUUUACCAAAUCGUGAUGGAAAAAUUUGAGGAUUUGAGUACGAAGAAAUCAAAAUUGCUGCUUCUCGAAGGUUUGCAAUUUUUUGAGAUUUGAUUAUUUUGACCAUGAACUAACAUUCCAGUGAUAAAUUGCUCAAAACCUGCUUGCUACUUUGCUUGUUUGAACAUUUUCAUUCUCGUAAAAACCAGAGAACAUGUGAAAAUUCAAGCGUUGAACAUGAAAAUGAUAGAAUACUAAUUUUCAUACAUGAAUUUCAAGCAUAGGAAACUAGAUAGAUGUGCUUUCAGAUAAAUGAAAAUAAAAAUCUCAAUUUUGACUGCUGAUUUUGAUCAGUUGGUUCAUUUCCACCUCAUGCCUAAACCUUCUAGGCCUCCAUAUAACAACACCUCUGUUCUUCAACCACUUGUCGAUCAAACGAAUCGUGUUCCCGACAAGCAAAAUCCCCAUCACACUGCACCACACAAUUAGCGAGAUCUCAAUGACAUUGCUCAGUGACCUCCGAUCCUUCUUUGGAGUCACCACAGUAAUCGAUAUGGCAUAGGUUGCCGCGGUCAUGGUAACCGUGACCCACAUGAUCACCAUCAGGAUCCACAUGAACAGCGGCCGCCUGAAGGGCAGGCCGCUAAUGAGCAGCAGGAUUGUGCUGAGAGACGUUACGAAGGCCACAGUGUUGGUGCGCAUGAAGUUUUUGAACGCCCGUUCGCUUUUGUAGGCCAUCACGGCCUCCCCUGCUUUGUGUGGAUUAGCCACGAGGGUGCCGUUGUCAUAGUGUGUGAAGUCUUCCUGCCAGACGCCCCCUGGAGGGGUCACCCCGGCCUGGAAAGCCAUGGUUGCUAUGAGGAUCGCAACCACCAUUAUGGAGUCUCGUUUCUUGGUCAACCACUUCACCGGCUGGGUGUCUCUGUGUUUGUUUUUUAAUCUGUUGAGCCCGUGGCACAGAACAUGGGCGACUCCAGAAUCUUCUUGUGCCUCGGGUUGGAUUUGUUCGUAAAGGGACUUUGCUGUUUGGCCAUUGGCGUUCUUUGCAUAGAUAUCCACGUUGUCGUCUUCCCAUAGAUACUGUGUAAUCUGCAAUAUUAUGUGUUUAUGUUCUUGAUUAUAGGUAAAGAAGAUGUUACAGAUCAAUCAUUCAGAUGCUUUUACUCCUAUUUAUCAGCUACUGCCAUGUGCAAAAUGGUGUCACCAUCAUCAUUCUUUGCAUUGAUCAGCUCUUUCACUUCCGUCACCAAAACCUUCAAAGCCCCAAGCUGGCCAUGUUCAACGCACAAAUGCAGGGCGUUGAGGCCUCGACCCACCUUCUGCCGAGCAGCCAGAGGAGCUUGUCUUACAAGCUCCUCCAGCAUCUUGUCCCGGCCCUUUAUGGCCGCAAGAUGGACAGGGUUCCGGCCCUGAGAGUCGCGGGACAGGCACAUAUCUGGUGCUUUAACGAUCAGCUUUUUCGCGAUCUCCACAUUGCCCUGUGCUGAGGCGAUGUGGAGAGGCGACGAUUGCUGAGAGUUGAGCUCUUCAGCAAGGCGAGGGCUGAGCCUCAAGAUCUCCUCAACAUAGGCUAGAUGCCCUUUUAAUGCUGCUAUAUGGAGAGGAGUGUUGUUUUGAGCUGUGUAGGAAACUCUUUCUAGGAGAAAUGCAUCUUUUUGAUGUAGUUGUUGCAGAGCUUUUACAUCUCCUUUUGCUGCGCUCUCGUAGAGCAUUUCCAUCUCUCUCUCUCUCUCUCAAAUAAUUGCUCAAUUUCUUGAUGAACUUCUCCAAAUGUAGGUAGAAUUGAUGUUUUAUUUAUGGUUGUCAUAAGGUUGACUUGGGGUUGACUCCCCCGUCCAUGAUGUAAGAAACGUAAAAGAAAUUGAGUGGAAAUGUUAGUUAUAUAUGAAUCCCGUGUUUGUAUA